UAUUUUGAUUAAAUUUUCUAAAUAAAAUUUUAUCAAAACAUAUUCUUCAGAAUCAAUUACUUAACGUUGCUCUAGUAACGUAGAAAUAUUCCGACAUAAACAAAAAUAGACAACAACAGCGGUCUAUGUGCUUGAGAGCUGUUUGAAGCACGAUCCAGUUUCCGCACAAGCUCAAACACGCACGAGAAAUCGUAAGGAAACUUUUCUGCUUGAUGAUAAAAAGAAUGUUUCCUCUGGCUUUCGUUUAAGAAACAAAAUGCGAGUUUUUAAUUGUGAUGAUUGCGAUGCAAUUUUUGCAGACGAGGAAACGAUGCGUAGGCAUCAAAUGACAGCGCAUCUCGGAUAUAAAGUUCUAUGCAAUAUGUGCAGAGCCGAGUUUUAUGAUCACGAAUCUCUAGAAGCACACCGGCCACAACACGCAAAUGACGAAACUACGGAGUGUGAUGUUUGCGGUGAAGUAAAAUGCACAAGGUGUAAAAUUUACUUGAAGGCCCAAGCUGACAAUGUAAAUUAGCAAAGUACUGAGAGAUGUCCAUUAUAAAAAUAUUGUAAGAAAAAUUAUUAGUUAAGCCAUUCUUAACUUUUCAUUUGUCAAUAGAUAGAUGUCAAAAGCUAAUUCAAACUUUGUGGUUUUUGCGUCAUUAAAGGUAUAUCGCAUAGCGUAAUUUAUUAUAAUUAUAAUAAUAUUUCUCAUGACAAUUACGUGUAAAUGUUACAUUUGCAAUGUUACCCAUAAACAUAAAUACUAUGAUGUGCAUCAUUUGAUUUUUUACACGUUUAAAAUAAAACAUUUUAUUUGCAAA